rnacentral:rRNA from 1 species
UACAGAGGUCUCAAGCGUUGUUCGGAAUUACUGGGCGUAAAGGGCGCGUAGGCGGCUUAUCAAGUCAGGCGUGAAAUUCCCGGGCUCAACCUGGGGGCUGCGUUUGAUACUGAUGAGCUUGAAUGCGGGAGAGGAUAGUGGAAUUCCCAGUGUAGAGGUGAAAUUCGUAGAUAUUGGGAAGAACACCAGUGGCGAAGGCGGCUAUCUGGCCCGUAAUUGACGCUGAGGCGCGAAAGCGUGGGGAGCAAACAGG